AAUAAGCGCAGGUAUGAGUUUUCGUGUCCAACUUUAAUCGUUUGUCUUAUUUGAAUUUUUUAUUAUUAGUAUUUUUAUUGUUAUUAGAUAAUAAAACAUGAAUAAUAAUUUAUGUGUGACUUAAUUUUUAUAUUUUUUUUAAAAAAUAAACAAGACGAAUGAUUAAAGUUGGACACGGAAACUUAUGGUUGCGCUUAUU
rfam:Oryza meridionalis cultivar OR44 (W2112) chromosome 6, whole genome shotgun sequence.